CACAGCGUACGAGACUCUCGCUGGCUAAAGGGUCGUUUCCAAUAUUUGAUCGCGUGGAAGGGAUACGGGACUGAUUUCUCCUGGGUAGAUGCCUCCGACGUUCAUGCCCCUGACCUGGUGCAGGCCUUCCAUGAGCAGAACCCAGCCCGACCGCAUCCCGAUCGUCAGCCCCGGGGGAAGGGCCCUGCGGUGAGGGAUAGUGUUGUGACCCAGGUUCCUGGACCCAGACUCCUGGACUCGGAUGAUUCAGAAAAUGAGGGAGAAGACCUGGCAAGCCCUGUUUCUCUUGAGCCCUCUCCCUCCCUGGCACCCACUCAAAGGGAGGGGCCGGCACGGCCUGAUUCUCCCGGGCCUUCUUCUGAUUUGGCAACGCCCCAAGAACAGUUUUGGAGGGACGCAAGAUUACGAAGGCUUGAUCGACGUGCGCAGCAGCGGAAGAGUUGGGACAAAGCCAAGUCAUAAUUGUCAUGCAGUGACAUCUGCAGAGACUAUAAAUAGGAGGCGGGACUUCCUGGUUUUUUGUCUCGGACAAAGCAAUGAAUUUGGCGCGAGCUAACUAUUUCAUGGAGGGAAGAAUAUAUUCGGGUUGCCCCGAAGAGCUUUGUGUUCCUUUUCCUCCUCAUCUGCCAAUGAGUGGGGAACAAAUGGUCCACCGGUUCUCUGGCAGGUGCUUUGGAGAAGAGUUUGACUCCCUUUUUAUUGGGGCAACCCCUGAGAUAUUGGAUUGACUGCUAUCAUGUCUCCCCCAGUCCUUCUUUUCAUUCAACUAGACAUACCCAGUUCCUGCAACCGUUCUUCAUAUGUUUUAGCCUCCAGUCCCCUCAUCAUCUUUGUUGCUCUUCUCUGCACUCUUUCUAGAGUCUCAACAUCUUUUUUACAUUGUGCCACGCUUUUCCUGCCUUGAUUUGCCUGCUGCAAUCCCUGCAAUCAAUUGCAUCAGCUAGCAACUGAAUCUGCCUGCCUGCAAUCAAUCUCACUGGUAAGCAACUGAAUCUGCUUGCCUGCUGCCUGCCUUGUCCCUUUAAUUUGGUAAGUAACCUAAGUUUUUUUUUUGGGGGGGAGCUUUAAAAAUAUAGUUAAUUGGGUUUUUUUUAGGAGUUUUUUUUUUUUUUAAGACAUAGCAAUUUAAAGUUAAGGAAGUUUUAAAUUUAGCUGCUUUUACCUAAAAAUAUAAAUGAAAUAAAAUAAUAAAAUAAAAUAUUCGUGCCGCUUUCUGAGAUUUGGUGUGUUUCUGAAGUGUUUCAUUCUAACUACACAAACACACAAAAUCUCACAAAGCUGUCUGGGGCAUUUUGUGUGGAAAAAGUGUCAAAGUUGGUUUUUGAGCUUUUUGUGGCUGUGUGAGGUUCCUGUUUGUUGCAGGGGCCAUUUUGGGUGAAGUGUAGCUGCUUUUACAUUGUUGAGUCAGUUGUGUUGUGUUGUGUGUGUGUAAAGUGUGAAAGUUGGUUUUUUGGUACCUCUUAUUGUUUUUGUGUAUUUUGUUUAUUAUUUUUACUAUUUAUUAUUAUCGGCCACGCCCACCGGGUCACCUGACCACCAAGCCACGCCCACCAAUUUAAGCCACGCCCACAGAACCGGUAGGGAAAAUGGAUUUGGGUUUGGAGUAGAUGACCUCCAAGGUCCCUUCCAACUCUGUUACUGUUACUGCCUCUGACGGUUGGUCAGUUAGAGGAGGUUUCCCCCUUUUUAAGGAAGUGUGUGAGAGAUGGGGGAUGGAAUCGUUUGUAGGGAAGGCAGAAGAGGGAGGUCUAUUUCAGUGGUGUCGGGUAACGGGAGAUACAGGAGGCAAGGUGGGGCAGGCCAAGGGAAUGUACAGUACGGUGUUUAGUACAGGAGGUAAAUAUUGGCACGAGUUUGGGUUGCUGUGGGUUACGGCAGGUAUCAAUGAAACAUUUGCUUCUGGGUUUAGAAACAGGAGUGGAGAUAAGACUCCUGCUCUCAGGUAGCUUGGUAAAGCCCAAUCAAAGUUCAAGAGAGGACAGGUAACAGGUGUAAAAUUCUCUUUAGAGGUGAAAAAUGAUAAAUUCUGCAGGCUUAGAGCUAGUCGGGAUUAGUGAGAAGGUCUUUCAACAGAAUUAACAUAAUCCACUGCCUUCUAAAGGAAAAUGUCCUUCAGCACGUAGUUUUCCACUUAGGUAACCCUGUUCUGGUAAGUUCUUAUAUCAGUUCAUUUAGUGACCGUUCGAAGUUACAACGGCACUGAAAAAAGUGACUUAUGGCCGUUUCCCCCACUUACAACCGUUGCAGUGUCCCUGGGGUCACAUGAUCAAAAUUCAGAUGCUUGACAACUGACUCGUGUUUAUGACGGCUGCAAUGUCCUGGGGUCAUGUGAUCAUCUUUUGUGACCUUCUGACAAGCAAAAUCAAUGGGGAAGCCAGAUUUGCUUAACAACCAUAUUCCUAACUGAACAACUGCAGUGAUUCACUUAACAACUUUGGCAAGAAAGGUCGUAAAUGGGGGAAAACUCAUUUAAUAACUGCUAUCAUUUAGCAACAGAGAUUCUGAGCUCAGAUGUGAUCAUAAGUCGAGGACUACCUGCAAUGUAUUCCU